GGGGAGGUUUUUUUUUUAAUAUGUGGUUGGAGAAAUAAAAAUAUUAUUUUCCUCCACCCCCCCCUUUUUUUUAUAUAAUGGGGGGGGGAGGGGGGAACCCCCUUUUUUGGAGGGGUUUUUUUUUAUAAUACAUCAAAACAAAAACCGGGGUAUUUUUUCAAAAAAGGUUUUUUACCCCCCCCGUGUGAGUUUUUCCCCCUAAAAAAAAUAUCCCCCCACCACCCCUUUUUGGAGGAAAAUAAGGGGGGGGGGGGGAAAAAUUUUUAUUUUUCGGGGUUUUUGGGGGAUUAUUUCCCCCUCCCCAGGGGGGGAAAUUUAUAAGGGAAAAUUGGCGGGGGGGGCCCUUCCCCCAGGGGGGGGUUGUGGGGGUUUAAUUUAAAUCAAACGGGGGAAAAAUUUACCAGGGGCCAGUUCUUUUGUUGAUGAAUACCUGAGAAAUGGCCGGAGUGGUGCAUGGCCCUUGGAAAAUUGAUGGGGCGACCUUUAGCUUAAAUGCUUAAACCAGUGAGACUUCCCUGACAGGUGUUCUGUACCACAGGAGGGUUGGAGGCUAUAACAGGUCCGUGAUGCCCUUAGAUAUCCUGGGCAGCAAGCGCAAUACAAUAUCUCUUCAGUAGACAAAGUGAUUUGAGAUGAGUAGGAUCUACGUUUGUAAAUACGUAGUGAAUAAGGAAUUCCUAGUAACGGUGCCUCAUCAAGGCAUGGUGAAUGUGUCCCUGUUCUUUGUACACACCGCCCGUCACUAUUUCAGAUGGUCAUAGGGAUGAAGAGCUUCGGCUCUGAAUAUCUAUGGCUAGAUAAAGUACAAGUCGUAACAAGGUUUCAGUUGGAGAACCAGCUGAAGGAUCAUUU
rfam:Enterocytozoon bieneusi H348 ctg01_2087, whole genome shotgun sequence.